ensembl:snRNA U6 U6 spliceosomal RNA
UAAAAAUAAAAAAAGAACAAUACAGAGAAGAUUAGCAUGGACCGUGCGCAAGGAUGACAUGCACAUUUGUAAAGUGUUCCAUAUUUUU